UACGUAGGUGGCAAGCGUUGUCCGGAUUUACUGGGCGUAAAGAGCGCGCAGGCGGUCGUGCAAGUCGCGUGUGAAAGCCCCCGGCUCAACUGGGGAGGGUCACGCGAUACUGCUCGACUCGAAGGCAGGAGAGGGAAGUGGAAUUCCCGGUGUAGCGGUGAAAUGCGUAGAGAUCGGGAAGAACAUCGGUGGCGAAAGCGCUCUACUGGACCGCAACUGACACUCAGGGACGAAAGCUAGGGGAGCGAAUGGG
rnacentral:rRNA from 1 species